CUACGGGGGGCUGCAGUUAGGAAUAUUGCACAAUGGGGGGAACCCUGAUGCAGCAACGCCGCGUGGAGGAUGACGCAUUUCGGUGUGGAAACUCCUUUUAUAUGUCAAGAAAAUGACGGUAGCAUAUGAAUAAGCACCGGCUAACUCCGUGCCAGCAGCCGCGGUAAUACGGAGUGUGCAAGCGUUACUCGGAAUCACUGGGCGGAAAGGACGCGUAGGCGGGUUGGAAAGUCAGGUGUGAAAUCCUACAGCUUAACUGUAGAACUGCACUUGAAACUUCUAAUCUAGAGUAUGGGAGGGGAGAUGGAAUUAGUGGUGUAGGGGUAAAAUCCGUAGAUAUCACUAGGAAUACCUAAAGCGAAGGCGAUCUCCUGGAACAUUACUGACGCUAAGGCGUGAAAGCGUGGGGAGCAAACAGGAUUAGAUACCCCCGUAGUC
rnacentral:rRNA from 1 species